UAGACUUAAAUGAAAACGUUAUAUACUAUAUAUAUUUAUUUUUCCUGUUUUUUAUUUAACUCUUUAAUUAACAAUUAUUCGUAAUGUGGUACUACUAAUAAAGAACGCUUUCAUGCCAUAAUCUAGAUUUAAAAAACUAAAACUUACUUGGUUUUUGUAGAAAAGAAACCCUACAAUUAUAUUGUACAAUAUUAUUAAUGCUUCUUCUUGACAGAUUUAAACCAAAUUCAAUAUCGAUCAAUAAUAUUGAUAUACAUGCAGAUAUCUCAUUAAAUGUGAGAAUUAAGAUAAUUAGAAAACGUGAGAAAAAAUCACGAAAAAGACAAGAGUUAAUAUAAAUAAAAUGUUUAUUAUAUAUACUUUUAUUUUUAUAAAUUCUGCUGCAAUAUUAGAUCAAACAUGAUGAAUAAAAUGUUCAUUAUAUGUAUACUAAUUUUAUUUCUUACUAAUGUUUUAUUUAUGUAAGUUUUUAUUACAAUCUUCAUUUAUGGAACAAAUUCUAUUGUAUUUUAUCAAAAUGUAGUAGAACCUGUUAUGUAAAUAAAACGUCAAUACUAAUAAAAGCUAGUACAUAUAAUAAAUGUACAUAUAAUUUUAUUUGCCAUGUUCAUAUAUGUAUACAUUACAUCAGAACUUAUUAUGUAAAUAAAACAUCUGUAAGAAUUAAGACUAGCAUAUAUGUACAUAUAAUGAACAUUUUAUUUAUCAUUGAUCAAACAUUUAGACAGAAAAAAUAUAAAACUAUUAAAUAUAUACAACAAAUAUUUUGUCGUACUUUUUGUUUUUUACACGUUUUCAACGCAAUGUACCUACAAACAACAUAUACGUACUCUUCCUAUGGGCCAACGAGGAUUUUAAAUUCAUUAUCAUAAAAUAUCAUUAGAGCUGCAAGAGGUGCAUAAACUAAUAACUGUAACCGCCGCAUCAUGGACAAACAUAUACGCAUAACGUUCCGUAAUGCACAAAUUGAAUUAGGGUGAGAUAAAUACGUUACAUGCAUAUAGGUUUCACGUCAAAAUGCUCACGUUUUAUUUGCGCGUAUACCGUUUUUUAAGCACAUCGCAAUCAACAAAAUUUCUUCUGCGAGAUAGGGAUAAUGUCUGCUGCGUAAUAGAAUGUAUAAAAAUAACUGUCUGUACAAAAAGAGAAUUAAACCGAGUAAAAAAAUCCACAGCCAUGGCAGUCAGUUGUUUAAACAACUUUGUCAAGUGUGCAACGUGUAUAAAAUUGUAGGCAGACUGCGCGAUUUAUUCGAAAACAGGCGGAUACAUUUUUGGACGGUGCUCAGUGUUCUACUUAAUUUAGAUUUAGAUAUAACGAAUACUGCCCGAGUGCUGCCUCUUAUCCGUACGUGCGCUUCCUUUACGACUCUGUUUCGUCCUUUUAUUUUGUUAAGAGCCAUUACAGUUUAGUACUCGUAAUAAAAGAGACUAUCGCGUAGGAGCGUCAUUUCUAUCGUGAAGUUAAAUGCGGCAAUCUACGAGGCUGAGAACUCGCUAAACUUCGAUCAAGAAAACGGAAGGAAGAAAACAAAAGAGAACAGCUGUACGUGCGCGUAUACACCAACCAGCACGUGAAUAUUUACACAGGGGAAAUGAGGCUGCAGAAAACGAGCGGAAGUGAAGAUUCGCAUGGGACUGAUAGUCGGCCUGACGGUACUCUCGUGCCAAUAUUCCUUUUCUGGUCCAUUUCCUCCAUAGUCUUGCUCACUUUGUUCUACUCUUUACUUUUUCCAUCCUCCACACCACUCUCUUUCGUUCCAUCAUUCUUGAUAGAAGCCAAAAGCGUUAUUUAUAUUGCGGGCCUAUAAGUUUCGCGAGUAGUUUCUGUUUUUUUUUGUCAAGAAACUUUUGUGGCACAAUAGGGUUUUUGCAGGCAUGAUGGCCGAGUCUAUCUAAAAGCACUUGUGGAGACUUUUCUGUCUAAUUUUUCCUGUCUAAAAACUCUUUCUAAAGCUUAUGUAUUAUAAUUUCGUUUAUUUCUAUUCAUUAAAUAAAAGUUAUAAAAUAUUAUAUUUUACUAGUAAAUAAAAACGUAUAUCGCGAAAUAAUUCAAAUUCCUAGGUAUUAUAUAACUUUCAUAGCAUUUAUUAUGUAUUAAAUAUUUAUUAAUAUUAAAAAAUUUUUAUCUAUUUGUUUAAGGAUCCAUAAACCCUCUAUGAACCUCUAUAAACCUACGAGAAACGUUCAUGAAACAAUCCAUCUUAAUCCACGGUAGACGCACACAGGUGAUUAGUCCAAUUAAUAUCAGACGGUGGAACUUAGGUGAUUGACCAAGCUAACGAACAAUCACGAUUAACCUAAUUAAUGUUUCGGUACUGAGCGUUCUAAUAACUUCGAUCGGCAACAGUCAAGGUCGGUGAUUUACAAUUACUGUUUUCAUCAAACCGACAGAUUUUUAUUGAUUAUUAACUUCAUUCAUUCAUUUUUUCUUUUUUUCUCUUUAUGUCUCUCAGAAGAUUAAUUACGAGUAAAAACUAAUUACUGUAAAAUUACAGCCUGGGCAUAUUUUAUAAAAAGAAAGGGAUUCAAACUACCUUAUUCCGAAAUUUUUAUUUCAUUUUUUCAUUUUUAAUUAUAAAAACUUUAUUUUGACUCUAAGUACAUUUUUUGUUAUCAUAUAAAAUAUUAUAAGAACAAUCAUAAAAAUAUUUUUUUUAAUUUCUGGAAUUGGUUAGAACUUUUAUAGUAUCCGAUAUAUAAGAUUUGGUUCUUUUUAAUAAAAAAACAGAACAUGCGCUCUAUCUUCAUUUUAAAUGAAAAUGACACCUCAAGAUCAAGAUUUUACUUAUGGAAUACAAAGUGUCUUCUUUUUCGUAACUAUUAUCUAAUAUUUUUCUCAUUCAAAUUAGGAACAAAAAGAUAUUGUAAGCUCUAAAAUCCAUAUAUAUUAACCCUAAAAAUUAUUGUUUAUAUCUUAACAAUUGGUAAAAAUUUUCCCUAAAAAAAUUCUAGAUACGCCCAUUCUUUUGCUUGAAGUAUGAAUCGAUCUAUUAACGAAUACAUGUAGAAACUUGGAAAGAUGUCUUAUGUGAUUCCUAAUAUGCCAGUUUCUUUAAAAUUAUACCUUUAUUACAAAUGUAAUUAAAAGUGAUAAUUUUGCUACUUAUACUGGCUUUGUGCCAAAAAAAUUAUAGUGUUAUAAAAUAAGAAAUUUUUCACAAAAUAUUUUCACCUCUUGUCGUAAGAUACAAGAUGUUCACUGUCAUUUAUAAGAGAACCACGUCUUUUAUAUCUUAAUGCCAAAUUGUUCUUCAGUAUAUCAAAUCUUGGAAUAUAGUAUAACAAUGUUAAUUCUUCUUCGUCCGCCUUAUAUAACUUUGCCGCGGUAAUACUGCGAUGAAAAUAAAAUCCGGAUUAAAUUUAUACAACGCGCCGACAAGUUUCGAAAUAAAGUGCGGCGUCGAAUGGUACGUUACUUGCAACGGAGAAUAAGUCUCUCGCCAGUGCAGGAAAACAGUCGCAAGUGGAAAGAGUCGAGCACAAGCCAGAAAGCGCGCACGCUAAAGGCGUCGCGUCGUCUCAACCGAUCUAGCGGACUUCGUAUCCUCCAUAUGCGAUUACCUAGACGAAAAGAAGGCGAGAAAUGGGCUAUAAUGCCAAUGGGAGUAUAUCCCUUUGGCUGCCGUGCAUCUUUCCUUUUUAUCUCACAGCUUUCUUCGCGCGUGAACGCGAUGCAUCAUGACGAAAUAAAAUACUGAGUAAUUCCCAUAAGAGUCAGACACUUUCGCAAUUACAUGGUUUUUCAAGAAGAUUUCUUCGUGAAAACGAAAUAACUUAAAAACACUAAUAAAACACGAAUUUGUUACUACGAUAAAAUUAUAAUAUAAUUAUGUGAUAAUAUAAAACAUAAAAACACGCAUUAGGUUUAAGGAAGCAGUUUAAGAUCGAGCAAUUAGAAUGCACAAAAAGGCUCAUUUUUAUCAAGAACUGCAUAAAGAGAAAUAAUUUAAAUGUUCGUUUAUUUACGAAUAAGUUAUAGUGACGUUUUAAACCUUAAAGUAAAGGUGUAAGAAAAAAUUGAUUAUUUCAACAAAAAUAAAAUAAAUCGAUAAAAUAAUAUAAAUUUUUAAACAAACAUUUCAUGUGCUACGGCAUGGAAUGAACACAGAAAGGAAAAUAAGAAGAGAAGACACAGUUUCCGCACAAGCUUUGAACCCACCACGUUGCAACGCAGAUGGAGUCUAAGGAGACACCAAGGUUCACCACUUGUCUCUUGAGAGCUUUACUCGUCCCUAGAACUCUGGAGCACUUGGUUAACACAAGGUAAUUCCGUUGCAACGCAACGUCUUUGAAGAGGUCGUAAUAUCUUGAUGACCUCGAAGAAAAUUGAAUAAUCACUCGAUAUCGCAUUUUAUGCUAGGAAUAAACAAAUUCAAGAAAGAAUACUAAGAAAGACUAUCGAAGACAGAUAAUAAAAUGUUAUAAAUAAAUUUAUAUAAAAAGCGUAAUAAUAAGUAGAAAUAAACAGAUCUUUCUUUAAAAUUAUAUUUAUCAAUUGUUUGAUAUUUUUGUUAAUACAUUAUCAAUUCUCAAUUAUAAGUAUUCAAUUCCUACAGACAAAAUAAUACUAUAAUUAAAAUAAUCAAUCGAAAAAUAGCACUUUUUUUAUUUCUUGUGUUAUUCUUAAUGUUUGCCAUCAUAUAAAAUUUAUAAAUCAUCUAAAUAAUUAUAUAAAUAAAGAAAUAGCUUUAUCUUUAUCUAAAUUAUUAAAAUGUACAUUAUCUGCAUUUUUAUCUUAGAUUAAAAACUAUAAUAUUUUUUAAACUAUCUAGAAUAAUGUAAAAAUAAUAACGAAAACUAAAUAUUGUUUUUCUUUAGCCUCAACUUUCAAGUUACCAUUUAUCUUAACAGUAACAGUCUAAGCAGUAGAAUUUUUCAAAAUAAUAAUAGAAUUGUGUUUCAAAACCCACUGCCAAAAUAAAUAAAAAACAAAUAGAUUUAUAUAGAGAUUAUUAUACAGAUGCUAUAUUCGCAGAUAAUAGAGAUAUAAAAAGACAGAAUAAGCGAGCAAGUUUCACCACAACAACGUACUAUAAAUGUUCAAAAUGCUUUACCGCAUGCGUUACAGAGUCGCGUUUAACUUUUGGACCGAACAUCAAAUCACGAAGCCCUUGAGGCUAUGGUUACUACUCCACCCAGGAAACGCGUUCCACUUACGAUUCUAGGAUUCAAAGGUAAGCGCAGUGUGAAAGCAAAUAACGCACCACACACGUUACCGUAAAUAUUUAAAAAAUAAUAUAUUUACACAUAUAUGAUGUAUUUCAUAUAUGUAUUUCAUUAUACCAUAAAUGUGUCGGUCAAAAACACGAGAAACCGGGUAAAUAUGUAUAAUGAACAUUGGCGGCUAACUGAACUUGGCGUAGAAAAACUGCGUUCAAAUUAGAUGUUUAAAAUGUAUUAGAAACCAAUGUUUUAUAUUUGCUAUUAACAUGCUCGCAACAUGUAUACCAUCGCAUGUGCUUCUCA